CUGCUCACUUUGGCAGCACAUACACUAAAAUUGGAAUAAUACAGAGAUUAACAUGGCCCCUGCGCAAGGAUGUUACUCAAAUUUGUGAAGCAUUCCAUAUUUUU